AUUGAACGCUGGCGGCAUGCCUUACACAUGCAAGUCGAACGGCAUCGCGGGAAAGCUUGCUUUCCUGGCGGCGCGUGGCGAACGGGUGUGUAACAUAUCGGAACGUACCGGCUAGUGGGGGAUAAUCCGUCGAAAGACGGGCUAAUACCGCAUAUGCUCUUCGGAGGAAAGUAGGGGACUUUUAGGCCUUGCUCUUGUCGAGCGUCCGAUGUCCGAUUAGCUAGUUGGUGGGGUAAAGGCCUACCAAGGCGACGAUCGGUAGCGGGUCUGAGAGGAGGAUCCGCCACACUGGGACUGAGACACGGUCCAGACUCCUACGGGAGGCAGCAGUGGGGAAUCUUGGACAAUGGGGGCAAGCCUGAUCCAGCAAUGCCGCGUGGGUGAUGAAGGCCUUCGGGUUGUAAAGCCCUUUCAGUAGGGAAGAAAUAGGCGGGGCGUAUAUCCCUGCUGGAUGACGGUACCUGCAGAGAAAGCACCGGCUAACUACGUG
rnacentral:rRNA from 1 species